AUUGAACGCUGGCGGCAUGCUUUACACAUGCAAGUCGAACGGUAACAGGUCUUCGGAUGCUGACGAGUGGCGAACGGGUGAGUAAUGCAUCGGAACGUGCCCAGUCGUGGGGGAUAACGCAGCGAAAGCUGCGCUAAUACCGCAUACGAUCUAUGGAUGAAAGCGGGGGACCGUAAGGCCUCGCGCGAUUGGAGCGGCCGAUGUCAGAUUAGGUAGUUGGUGGGGUAAAGGCCCACCAAGCCAACGAUCUGUAGCUGGUCUGAGAGGACGACCAGCCGCACUGGGACUGAGACACGGCCCAGACUCCUACGGGAGGCAGCAGUGGGGAAUUUUGGACAAUGGGCGCAAGCCUGAUCCAGCAAUACCGCGUGCAGGAAGAAGGCCUUCGGGUUGUAAACUGCUUUUGUACGGAACGAAACGGCUCUCUCUAAUACAGAGGGCUAAUGACGGUACCGUAAGAAUAAGCACCGGCUAACUACGUGCCAGCCGCCGCAGUAA
rnacentral:rRNA from 1 species